rnacentral:lncRNA from 1 species
AGUGGAACACAUGCUGUCACUCACAUAUGCUGGUUGCUGACUUGUGACGGAAGAUUCUCUAUUGUACCCUCUGGGGACAAUACAUCUCCAGUUGCCUGCGGGGAGGAUGAACAUGCAAAAAAUCCACAACACUCAGCACAGAGUCUGGAUUUAGUCCCAUUAGUCUGAAUGGGACUAAUGCCCUUAUAAAAGGGACCUCGGGGAGCUCUCUCGCCC